rnacentral:lncRNA from 1 species
ACCGUGGCAAGAGAGGGAGAGGGAGACUGUGGGGAGAGGGAGAGGGAGAGGGACAAUGGCACACUCUUGUCGCUCUUGGCUUGUUGACUGAGUGGGGCUGGGCACAUGCACACACGCUGCCAAGUACCUGCCCCCAAACACAGGAGGCCACUAUAUUGGUGACAGACCUAGGAAACUGGCAGAAGUUGGACACUUUCUGGUAGAAGGUGUCCUGGUAGAGACAGUUGAUUGAGUGAGGAAGGACCUGUGGAUAUGGCUGCCGUACCUCUCGGAACUUUAGUGCAAAUUCUUAUUUGUUUAUUUAUUUAUUUAUUUUUGAGACGGAGUCUCACUCUGUCACCCAGGCUGGAGUGCAGUGGCACCAUCUCGGCUCACUGCAACCUCUGCCUCCCAGGUUCAAGUGAUUCUCUUGCCUCAGCCUCCUGAGUAGCUGGGAUUACAGGCAUACGCCAACACACCCGGCGAAUUUUUGUAUUUUUGGUAGAGAUGGGGUUUCACCAUGUUGGCCAGGCUGGUCUCAAACUCUUGACCUCAGGUAACCCGGCCUAAUGCAAAUUCUUAACUGGACUGUGGAAGCCAGGGUUUGGCAGCUGGUCUCAGAGCUUGCCCUUUGUGAACAAAGUGAGGAGAGGAGGGUUCUGUGAGGAAGGGCAGACACUCCAGCAAAAAUGAGGGACUCACAUGACUCCUCUGGGGUGCAGCUUGUUUAGGGGAGCUGCUCAGGCAGCUGGUGUCUUUGUGUGGAGCUCUCUCCUCCCAAAGCCAGCCUUAGAGCCCUCCCUCCACCCGGCACCAAGCAGCCAUCUCCAUCCCUUCAACACCUGUCUGGGAGGCCUGGAGUGGAGGAUACUUGUGAAUAGAAAAACAAUCUCCCAGUGGGGAUGUCCCACACCAGGACGAUGGCUGUCCCAGCGGUGAUCUUAGGGGUUCCCAGAAGGCCACCUUCUCUCUAGAUGCCUUUCUUUUCCUGUGAUCCUGCGAGCUGAAGUCCUGGCUACAGUUCCAACCUUACAGCUUUAUCUCUAGGUUUGUGUGUUUGAUUCCCAUCAAAAUACGGAUGUGUCAGGGAACACUAGUACUCCAGGCUGCCAUUGGUCUCUGACCUGAGAUCUCCUCCUGGGGGUGAAGGAGGAGGGGAAAGAGGGCGAGGUUUGCUUUCAGGGGAGGCUGCGUGGCUGCUCCUCAGAACAGGAGAGGGCUAGCCCCCACAGGAGGCUCGGCAGGCUGUUCAUCUUGAUCGGUGCCCGCCCUGAGUCGGCUCUGGGACACACACUGAACAGAUUGAUGGAUCCAUUCCUCAAGAAUAGACUAAUCAACAAAGAAUGAAAACUCUGUCGCAAGACAAGAAAUUUCUAAAAGGCACCUUAACUGAGAAAAAUUAAGAGUGCUUCCUGAUGAUGGUGGAGAACCGGGAGGAGGCUUGUGCUUCGUAGGUCUCCUAGCUUUGCUCUUCUUCUCUGUGGUUGGCUUAGUUUAUGGAUAUAUUCCGAAGGUCAGAAUUUAAAUUCUGGCUCCUACCUAAGGACUCCUUGCAGACCAAGAAAUGUAUAAAGGAGCAGGAGAAUAACUUAAGGCCAAGGAGAAGACCAGUCCAGGGAAAGAGCCCUAAAGACUGCCUUCCUCUCACUGAAAGGCAGAUAGGCUGUGAUUGGGGCCCUGAUACCCAGAUGCUAAGAGUGGAGCAGGGGGCUGGGCGCGGUGGCUCACACCUGUAAUCCCAGCACUUUGGGAGGCCGAGGCGGGCGGAUCACCUGAGGUCGGGAGUUCGGGACCAGCCUGACCAACAUGGAGAAACCCUGUCUCUACUAAAAAUACAAAAUUGGCCAGGCGUGUUGGCACAUGCCU